rnacentral:rRNA from 1 species
CAUGGCUCAAGACGAACGCUGGCGGCGUGCCUAAUACAUGCAAGUCGAGCGAAUCAAUAGGAGCUUGCUCCUGUUGGUUAGCGGCGGACGGGUGAGUAACACGUGGGCAACCUGCCUGUAAGACUGGGAUAACUUCGGGAAACCGGAGCUAAUACCGGAUAAUCCUUUCCCUCACAUGAGGGAAAGCUGAAAGUCGGUUUACGCUGACACUUACAGAUGGGCCCGCGGCGCAUUAUCUAGUUGGUGAGGUAACGGCUCACCAAGGCGACGAUGCGUAGCCGACCUGAGAGGGUGAUCGGCCACACUGGGACUGAGACACGGCCCAUACUCCUACGGGAGGCAGCAGUAGGGAAUCUUCCGCAAUGGACGAAAGUCUGACGGAGCAACGCCGCGUGAGCGAUGAAGGCCUUCGGGUCGUAAAGCUCUGUUGUUAGGGAAGAACAAGUACCGGAGUAACUGCCGGUACCUUGACGGUACCUAACCAGAAAGCCACGGCUAACUACGUGCCAGCAGCCGCGGUAAUACGUAGGUGGCAAGCGUUGUCCGGAAUUAUUGGGCGUAAAGCGCGCGCAGGCGGUCCUUUAAGUCUGAUGUGAAAGCCCACGGCUCAACCCGUGGAGGGUCAUUGGUAAACUGGGGGGACUUGAGUGCAGAAGAGGAAUAGCGGCACUUCCACGUGUAGCCGGUGCAAUGCGUAGAGAUGUGAAGGAACACCCAGUGGNCGAGGUCGGCUCUCUGGNNUGUAACUGACGACUGACGCGCGUAAAGCGUGGGGGAGCAAACCA